GACGAACGCUGGCGGCGUGCUUAACACAUGCAAGUCGAACGGAAAGGCCUCUUUCGGGGGGUACUCGAGUGGCGAACGGGUGAGUAACACGUGAGUAACCUGCCCUUGACUUUGGGAUAACCUCAGGAAACUGGGGCUAAUACCGGAUAGGAGCUCCUGCUGCAUGGUGGGGGUUGGAAAGUUUCGGCGGUUGGGGAUGGACUCGCGGCUUAUCAGCUUGUUGGUGGGGUAGUGGCUUACCAAGGCUUUGACGGGUAGCCGGCCUGAGAGGGUGACCGGCCACAUUGGGACUGAGAUACGGCCCAGACUCCUACGGGAGGCAGCAGUGGGGAAUAUUGCACAAUGGGUGGAAGCCUGAUGCAGCAACGCCGUGUGCGGGAUGACGGCCUUCGGGUUGUAAACCGCUUUCGCUCAUGACGAAGCUUUGUGUGACGGUAGUGGGUAAAGCAGCACCGGCUAACUACGUG
rnacentral:rRNA from 1 species